rnacentral:rRNA from 1 species
AUUGAACGCUGGCGGCAGGCCUAACACAUGCAAGUCGAACGAGUGGCGGACGGGUGAGUAAUGUAUGGGAAACUGCCUGAUGGAGGGGGAUAACUACUGGAAACGGUGGCUAAUACCGCAUACCAUCGGAUGUACCCAUAUGGGAUUAGCUAGUAGGGGGGGAAAAGGCUCACCUAGGCGACGAUCCCUAGCUGGUCUUAGAGGAUGAUCAGCCACACUGGAACUGAGACACGUCCAAGACUCCGACGUGAGGCAGCAGUGGGGAAUAUUGCACAAUGGGCGCAAGCCUGAUGCAGCCAGGCCGCGUGUAUGAAGAAGGCCUUCGGGUUGUAAAGUACUUUCAGCGGGGAGGCGUUACCCGCAGAAGAAGCACCGGCUAACUCCGUGCCAGCCGCCGCGGUAAUUC